GACGAACGCUGGCGGCGUGCUUAACACAUGCAAGUCGAACGGAAAGGCCCUGCUUUUGUGGGGUGCUCGAGUGGCGAACGGGUGAGUAACACGUGAGUAACCUGCCCUUGACUUUGGGAUAACUUCAGGAAACUGGGGCUAAUACCGGAUAGGAGCUCCUGCUGCAUGGUGGGGGUUGGAAAGUUUCGGCGGUUGGGGAUGGACUCGCGGCUUAUCAGCUUGUUGGUGGGGUAGUGGCUUACCAAGGCUUUGACGGGUAGCCGGCCUGAGAGGGUGACCGGCCACAUUGGGACUGAGGUACGGCCCAGACUCCUACGGGAGGCAGCAGUGGGGAAUAUUACACAAUGGGCGGAAGCCUGAUGCAGCAACGCCGCGUGCGGGAUGACGGCCUUCGGGUUGUAAACCGCUUUCGCCUGUGACGAAGCGUGAGUGACGGUAAUGGGUAAAGAAGCACCGGCUAACUACGUG
rnacentral:rRNA from 1 species